UAAGGUUAAGUUAAUAAGGGCGCACGGUGGAUGCCCUUGGCACUAGGAGCCGACGAAGGACGUGACAAACGACGAUAUGCCUUGGGUAGCUGUAAGUAAGCGAUGAUCCAGGGAUUUCCGAAUGGGGGAACCCAACAGGUAAUACCUGUUACCCACAUCUGUUAAGGAUGUGAGGAGGAAGACGCAGUGAACUGAAACAUCUAAGUAGCUGCAGGAAGAGAAAGCAAAAGCGAUUGCCUUAGUAGCGGCGAGCGAAACGGCAGGAGGGCAAACCGAAGAGUUUACUCUUCGGGUUGUAGGACUGCAAUGUGGACUCAAAGAUUAUAGAAGAAUGAUUUGGGAAGAUCAGCCAAAGAGAGUAAUAGCCUCGUAUUUAAAAUAGUCUUUGUACUUAGCAGUAUCCUGAGUACGGCGGGACACGUGAAAUCCCGUCGAAUCUGGGAGGACCAUCUCCCAACCCUAAAUACUCCCUAGUGACCGAUAGUGAACCAGUACCGUGAGGGAAAGGUGAAAAGCACCCCGGGAGGGGAGUGAAAUAGAACCUGAAACCGUGUGCCUACAACAAGUUCGAGCCCGUUAAUGGGUGAGAGCGUGCCUUUGUAGAAUGAACCGGCGAGUUACGUUAUGAUGCGAGGUUAAGUUGAAGAGACGGAGCCGUAGGGAAACCGAGUCUGAAUAGGGCGCCUUAGUAUCAUGACGUAGACCCGAAACCAUGUGACCUACCCAUGAGCAGGUUGAAGGUGCGGUAAGACGCACUGGAGGACCGAACCAGGGCACGUUGAAAAGUGCUUGGAUGACUUGUGGGUAGCGGAGAAAUUCCAAACGAACUUGGAGAUAGCUGGUUUCUCUCCGAAAUAGCUUUAGGGCUAGCGUCGACAUUAGAGAUUCUUGGAGGUAGAGCACUGUUUGGGUGAGGGGUCCAUCCCGGAUUACCAAUCUCAGAUAAACUCCGAAUGCCAAUGAAUUAUGGUCGGCAGUCAGACUGCGAGUGCUAAGAUCCGUAGUCGAAAGGGAAACAGCCCAGACCACCAGCUAAGGUCCCAAAAUAAUUGUUAAGUGGAAAAGGAUGUGGGGUUGCACAGACAACUAGGAUGUUAGCUUAGAAGCAGCUAUUCAUUCAAAGAGUGCGUAAUAGCUCACUAGUCGAGUGACCCUGCGGCGAAAAUGUACCGGGGCUAAAACAAUUUACCGAAGCUGUGGAUACCUUUAUAGGUAUGGUAGGAGAGCGUUCUAUGUGUGAUGAAGGUGUACCGUGAGGAGUGCUGGAACGCAUAGAAGUGAGAAUGCCGGUAUGAGUAGCGAAAGACAGGUGAGAAUCCUGUCCACCGUAAGACUAAGGUUUCCAGGGGAAGGCUCGUCCGCCCUGGGUUAGUCGGGACCUAAGGAGAGACCGAAAGGUGUAUCCGAUGGACCAACAGGUUGAUAUUCCUGUACUAGAGUAUGUAGUGAUGGAGGGACGCAGUAGGC
rnacentral:rRNA from 1 species